ACCAGGACACCCACCAUUUGUUGGUGCCCCGGCGCCCGGCGCACUUAGUUAUGCAACAGAGUAGCAAGAUACAAGAUCCAACCAACCGACCAACCGCCCACUCAAUGCCACCCACCCGGAGCCCGGACGGAAUGCGAAAAAGAUUCUGGCGCCUUGUCAUAGGCAACUUGAUGCUUUGAGAGCUUAGCAUAAAUUGUGAUGAAUACUAAAAAGGCAUUUUAUUUAUGCCUCACUUAAUUACACACACAAAGCGGAAAAGAAAGAUCCACAGGGAUGGAGCAUCGGCCAGCAAAGGCGAAGCGCCACGGACGCCUUGUUACGGAAUCUGGGAGUUUAUGCGUUGAUUUUUCCUCAUUUCCCAAAAAUAACUAAUUCAAGAAAUUUUCAAUUGUAUUUCCGCCGAGACUUGGACGCUUGAACUUGGACGUACUUUAAAAAGACUACUUCUGAAACUUAUAUAAUAUUCUUUCACAAAAAACCAUUCGAUGCAAUCCAAAAAAGUAGGCUGAUUAUUUUAUAAUUUA